rnacentral:rRNA from 1 species
CAGCAGCCGCGGUAAUACGUAGGUGGCAAGCGUUGUCCGGAAUUAUUGGGCGUAAAGGGCUCGCAGGCGGUUUCUUAGGUCUGAUGUGAAAGCCCCCGGCUCAACCGGGGAGGGUCAUUGGAAACUGGGAAACUUGAGUGCAGAAGAGGAGAGUGGAAUUCCACGUGUAGCGGUGAAAUGCGUAGGGAUGUGGAGGAACACCAGUGGCGAAGGCGACUCUCUGGUCUGUAACUGACGCUGAGGAGCGAAAGCGUGGGGAGCGAACAGGAUUAGAUACCCCGGUAGUCCCUGUCUCUUAUAC